UUCAUCUUCAUUCUCUCCGUCAAAGACCCGACGCUUGAGGCGACCAAGACGGCAUCGACGACUGUUCUGGUCUCUAACGGCAUUGGGUCUUCUGCAUCGGAGGAUCGGUCAUGAUGAAUCCACCGAAAACCAGCAGGUUUCUUCAAAACCCGAGAAGAGAUCGUUCGCUGUCGCAAGCGGUGAGAUGUUCAUCGGAAUUGCCUCGAGGCUUUUGAAGAGGUCCAAUCAACGGAUGUCUCCAAUUGAUGAUGAUGGAGACAGGAUAGGAUCAGUAAUCGAGGACGAGAUUGAGGCAGCGAUGAUUUGAGAAUAGAGGGUUAAAGAUGUAGAAGCGGAGAAAGAGAGGAGGGUCAUUACAAGCCCUGGGAAACUACUCAUUUGGCAGGAUCUUCUGCUGGUGCUAUUAUCUGUGCUACGAUAGCCUCAGGAGCCUCUAUGCGUGAAGCCCUUGAAGCUAACAAGACUCUUGUCUUACGGAAAUACAUGUUAACAAGCGAGAGAAGUUGAACCCCUGAAGCAUUAAAUCAACUUGCGGACAAACCUGAAUGUCGACUAACAAAAACUCAACAAAAGACAUGCUAGGUGGGUAGAAUUCAUUGAGACAUUUCCGUAUGUUAUUAAGUACAAGCAAGGUAAGGAUAAUAUAAUUGCUGAUGCAUUGUCUCGGAGGUAUGUGUUACUCUCAACUCUUGAUGCUAAACUUUUAGGUUUUGAACAGUUCAAACAAAUGUAUGCAUCUGAUUCUGAUUUCAAGGAGUUAUAUCAAUCUUUUGAAAAA